rnacentral:rRNA from 1 species
GACGAACGCUGGCGGCGUGCUUAACACAUGCAAGUCGAACGGAAAGGCCUUUUCGGCGGUACUCGAGUGGCGAACGGGUGAGUAACACGUGGGUGAUCUGCCCUGCACUCUGGGAUAAGCCUGGGAAACUGGGUCUAAUACCGGAUAGGACCGCACUUUAGUGUGUGUGGUGGAAAGUUUUUUCGGUGUAGGAUGAGCCCGCGGCCUAUCAGCUUGUUGGUGGGGUAAUGGCCUACCAAGGCGGCGACGGGUAGCCGGACUGAGAGGUUGGUCGGCCACAUUGGGACUGAGAUACGGCCCAGACUCCGACGGGAGGCAGCAGUGGGGAAUAUUGCACAAUGGGCGCAAGCCUGAUGCAGCGACGCCGCGUGGGGGAUGACGGCCUUCGGGUUGUAAACUCCUUUCGCCAGGGACGAAGCGUUUUGUGACGGUACCUGGAGAAGAAGCACCGGCUAACUACGUG